rnacentral:misc_RNA from 1 species
GAAUUGCGAUAAGUAAUGUGAAUUGCAGAAUUCAGGGAAUCAUCGAAUCUUUGAACGCACAUUGCGCCCGCCAGCACUCUGGCGGGCAUGCCUGUUCGAGCGUCAUUUCAACCAUCAAGCCCCCGGACUUGCGUUGGGGACCUGCGGCUGCCCGCGGGCCCUGAAAACCACUGGCGGGCUCGCUGUCACCCCGGUCGUAGUAGUAUCAUCUCGUCCAGGGCGUGGCUGCGGGCUCCGGGCGUUAAACCUUCUCGCAUCCAAAGGUCGACCUCGGAUCAGGUAGGAAUACCCGCUGAACCUAA